AUAUAGGAGAGAUAUAGUGCCGACGAGCAUUAAAGCUUUCCUAUAUACUUGGGGCACUUUUUUCCUUUAGUAACUUCAGCACACUACAUGUGCUGUUUCGUAGGCAUAUAGCACAGCCUAUGUGUUGUAUUGGUGUGCUUUUUCAUGGCUUGUAAUUUUGAUGUUCGAUUACAUGUGCUAAAUGGACUGUGCUAAAUGUAAUGGUGUGCUGAAACAGGUAAACAUGCUAAUUCAGCACAGUGUGCUGUUUUCAGUACCAAAUAAGGGCAUGCAGUACAACAGAUAUGCAGCUGCAGCUGCAUAGCAACAAAGACUUUUUUUUUUAUUUGCUGUUCUUGCAAAGAAGAAAAGAAGUUGAGUUUAGACAUGGUUUGAGAGCUGUUUGACAAAACUGUGGAACUAGGAAGGACAAGCAAGUAAAAGGUUGAAUGGGGCUCAACAAAGUGGAGACCAAUUGAAGCCUAUAAUUAUUGCCAAAGUUUCAUAGCACAAUAAGUGACUGGUCGUCAGUGGAUGGCCGUGUUUGCCACCAUCCAUUUAUCAGCAGUUAUUCACGAGUACAUCGUGGCCAUAGCUCUGCAGUUUGCCUUCCCUCUGCUUUUCUUGGAGUUUCCUAUUGGAGGAGCCAUGGUCUACUUCCUCCGCCCCAAGUCUAUGGAGAGGCUGUACAACAUACUGCUGCUGAUAGGGUUCUGCUUUGGUGGAGCUAACUUGCUCUUCUUCUAUCAAGUGGAGUUUGCAGCACGAAUCUACUGCCCUAAACAGCGGUCGCUGCAGAAUUUCUUCCUGCCUCAGCUGCUUGACUGUUACCAACACAUGAACAAUAAUAUCACUUCGAAUUUCUAAUAAAUAUCUAAUUUAUAUCUAAAUGGAUAGGAAAAGAGUAUAACUAUGCACUUUAAAGAUUUACACACACACACACACACACACACAUAUACACAUAGUUUUUUGUCACAUUUUAACAUUAUCCUUUGUGUGAAAACUUUCUGCACUCCCUUUGUAACAAUAAAUGACUUUU